AAACUAGGAUUAGAUACCCUAUUAUUUUAAGCUGUAUGUUGGGAGUAAAUAAAAUUUAUGAAAUCAUAAAAUUUUGGCGGUAUUUUAAGCUUAUUAGAGGAAUUUGCCCUGUGAUGGAUAUAACGCCUUAAUCUUACUUAAUUUUGUUAAGUGCAGUUUGUAUACCACUAUAUUUAAAUAUAUUGAAUAAUCAUAUUUUUAAUUUUUUUAAAAUAAAAAGUAUAUUAAGUCAAGGUGCAACAAAUAAUUAUGAAUGAGGUGAAUUACAUUAAUUUUAAUAUAUUUUUGGAAGAUGAAAAUUAAAUUUUAGGAUUUAAUAGUAAGAUAUUAAUAUAAUGAAUGUUUGAAUAGAGCUCUAAAAUAUGCACAUAUCGCCCGUCGCUCAGAGGUGAGAUAAGUCGUAACAUAG
rnacentral:rRNA from 1 species